GCACUCACUUCAGCAGCACUUAUACUAAAAUUGGAACAAGACAGAGAAGAUUAGCAUGGUCCCUGCGCAAGGAUGACAUGGAAAUUUGUGAAGUGUUCCAUAUUUAA